UGGAAAUCAUUCGCAGAGUGUAAAGGCAUAAAGGAGCUUGACUGCGAGACCUACAAGUCGAGCAGGGACGAAAGUCGGGCUUAGUGAUCCGGUGGUUCCGUAUGGAAGGGCCAUCGCUCAACGGAUAAAAGCUACCCUGGGGAUAACAGGCUUAUCUCCCCCAAGAGUUCACAUCGACGGGGAGGUUUGGCACCUCGAUGUCGGCUCAUCGCAUCCUGGGGCUGUAGUCGGUCCCAAGGGUUGGGCUGUUCGCCCAUUAAAGCGGUACGCGAGCUGGGUUCAGAACGUCGUGAGACAGUUCGGUCCCUAUCCGUCGCGGGCGUAGGAAAUUUGAGAGGAUCUGUCCUUAGUACGAGAGGACCGGGAUGGACAUACCGCUGGUGUACCAGUUGUUCCGCCAGGAGCAUCGCUGGGUAGCUAAGUAUGGAUGAGAUAAACGCUGAAAGCAUCUAAGUGCGAAACUCACCUCGAGAUAAGAUUUCCCAUUACGUAAGUAAGUAAGAUCCCUGAAAGAUGAUCAGGUAGAUAGGAUGGAAGUGGAAGUGCUGUGAGGCAUGGAGCGGACCAUUACUAAUCGAUCGAGGACUUAACCAAG
rnacentral:rRNA from 1 species